CAAUAGCGUAUAUUAAAGUUGUUGCGGUUAAAAAGCUCGUAGUUGGAUUUCUGCCGAGGACGACCGGUCCGCCCUCCGGGUGAGUAUCUGGCUCGGCCUGGGCAUCUUCUUGGAGAACGUAACUGCACUUGGCUGUGUGGUGCGGUAUUCAGGACUUUUACUUUGAGGAAAUUAGAGUGUUUCAAGCAGGCACACGCCUUGAAUACAUUAGCAUGGAAUAAUAAGAUAGGACCUCGGUUCUAUUUUGUUGGUUUCUAGAUCUGAGGUAAUGAUUAAUAGGGAUAGUUGGGGGCAUUCGUAUUUAACUGUCAGAGGUGAAAUUCUUGGAUUUAUGAAAGACGAACUUCUGCGAANGNAUUUGCNAAGGAUGUUUNCAUUA
rnacentral:rRNA from 1 species